AGAGGUGGCAAGCGUUGUUCGGAAUUACUGGGCGUAAAGGGCGCGUAGGCGGUCUUGCAAGUCCCGUGUGAAAUCCCUCGGCUCAACUGAGGAACGGCACGGGAAACUGCUUGGCUUGAGUUCGGGAGAGGGAAGCGGAAUUCCGGGUGUAGCGGUGAAAUGCGUAGAUAUCCGGAGGAACACCGGUGGCGAAGGCGGCUUCCUGGACCGACACUGACGCUGAGGCGCGAAAGCUAGGGGAGCAAACGGGAUUAGAUACCCCGGUAGUCCUAGCUGUAAACGAUGAGUGCUGGGUGUAGAGGGUAUUAACCCCUUCUGUGCCGAAGCUAACGCAUUAAGCACUCCGCCUGGGGAGUACGGUCGCAAGGCUG
rnacentral:rRNA from 1 species